rnacentral:rRNA from 1 species
AGCGUUCGGCCGGUCACACGCCGCGUCACGUACCUUUUGAUCGCUCCACGUGGGCAUCUGGGUCCAUCCCACCGCUUCCCCUUAUCCUUUUAUAUCCUUCCCUCGGUUUAGCACAUCCACUCGUUCCCCAAAUCUUCCUUCCCCAAUCUCUCUGAUUCUAAUCCCCUCUCACCGCAACCACUCCUUGCCGGCCAUGGUCAGCCAGACCACGGCAAUCUUCCCCAGCGAGCUGUCCUGCUUUGGUGCUCGCGCAGCUCCUCCCUCACCCACGCAUGCAGGAGGGUUGUGUGGUGGACUGGUGGUGCGGUGUUGCAAAUGGAGAGCGCAGGCGGCUAUGGGACGGGUGGUGUGGCAAGACGCUGCUGGAACAGCCAUG